ensembl:snRNA U6 U6 spliceosomal RNA
GCUUGCUUUGUCAAUAUGCAUACUAAAAUUGGAAUAGCACAGAGAAGAUUAACACAGCCCAUGUACAAGGACGGUUCACACAUCUGUGAAUCGUUCCCUAUUUGU